ACUGAGAGAUCAUGCUGAUAGUAACAUUGUUAUCAUGCUUGUGGGCAAUAAGAGUGAUUUACGUCAUCUCAGGGCAGUUCCUACAGAUGAAGCAAGAGCAUUUGCAGGUUAGUAAU
rnacentral:miRNA from 14 species